GACGAACGCUGGCGGCGUGCCUAACACAUGCAAGUCGAACGAGAUCCAUGGGAGCUUGCUCCCGGAAGAUCUAGUGGCGAACGGGUGAGUAACACGUGAGAAACCUGCCCUGGAGUGGGGAAUAACUCGGGGAAACUCGAGCUAAUACCGCAUACCCUCGGAUGGUCGCAUGGCCGACCGAGGAAAGAUUUAUCGCUCUAGGAGGGUCUCGCGGCCUAUCAGCUAGUUGGUGGGGUAACGGCCUACCAAGGCAACGACGGGUAGCUGGUUUGAGAGAACGAUCAGCCACACUGGGACUGAGACACGGCCCAGACUCCUACGGGAGGCAGCAGUGGGGAAUCUUGCGCAAUGGGCGAAAGCCUGACGCAGCAACGCCGCGUGCGGGAUGACGGCCUUCGUGGUUGUAAACCGCUUUCAGCAGGGACGAAAAUGACGGUACCUGCAGAAGAAGCCCCGGCUAACUACGUGCCAGCAGCCGCGGUAAGU
rnacentral:rRNA from 1 species